UUAAGUUCAGCGGGUAUCCCUACCUGAUUCGAGGUCAAACUUGAGGGGUGACUUGAUGGACGCAAGCCCGCCGGUAACCUUCCAUGACGCAUUGUGCUGCGCGAGAAGCCGGCGAUGCCGCUGCCAAUAGAUUUGGGGCGAGUCCUCGCGAGAAGCGCGGACAGACGCCCAACACCAAGCAGAGCUUGAGGGUGUAAAUG
rnacentral:misc_RNA from 1 species